rnacentral:pre_miRNA from 14 species
CGUUGCUCAUGACUCCAUUGUGCUUGAUCUAACCAUGCAGUGCAUCUUCUGUCCAUGGUUGUGCCAAGCACCUUGGAGUCUUGUGUGCAC